UAGGGAAUCUUCGGCAAUGGACGAAAGUCUGACCGAGCAACGCCGCGGGAGUGAAGAAGGUUUUCGGAUCGUAAAACUCUGUUGUUAGAGAAGAACAAGGACGUUAGUAACUGAACGUCCCCUGACGGUAUCUAACCAGAAAGCCACGGCUAACUACGUGCCAGCAGCCGCGGUAAUACGUAGGUGGCAAGCGUUGUCCGGAUUUAUUGGGCGUAAAGCGAGCGCAGGCGGUUUCUUAAGUCUGAUGUGAAAGCCCCCGGCUCAACCGGGGAGGGUCAUUGGACACUGGGAGACUUGAGUGCAGAAGAGGAGAGUGGAAUUCCAUGUGUAGCGGUGAAAUGCGUAGAUAUAUGGCGGAACACCAGUGGCGAAGGCGGCUCUCUGGUCUGUAACUGACGCUGAGGCUCGAAAGCGUGUGGAGCAAACAGG
rnacentral:rRNA from 1 species